rnacentral:rRNA from 1 species
GACGAACGCUGGCGGCGUGCUUAACACAUGCAAGUCGAGCGGAGCGGCGAACGGGUGAGUAAAGCGUGAGUAACUGCCCCCCUCUCUGGGAUAACAGUUGGAAACGGCUGCUAAUACCGGAUAGUGGGGGAUGACUCGCGUCCUAUCAGCUUGUUGGUGGGGUAGGGGCCUACCAAGGAGACGACGGGUAGCCGGCCUGAGAGGGCGACCGGCCACAUUGUGCUGGUAUACGGACCAAACUCCUACGGGAGGCAGCAGUGGGGAAUAUUGCACAGUGGGGGAAACCCUUAAGGAGGAACGCCGCGGUCGGGAUGACGGCCUGCGGGUUGUAAACCGCUUUCAGCCAUGACGCGGUAGUGGCAGAAGAAGCACCGGCUAACUACGUGCCAGCCGCCGCGGUAAUAC